rnacentral:rRNA from 1 species
UACGGAGGGUGCAAGCGUUGUCCGGAUUUAUUGGGUUUAAAGGGUGCGUAGGCGGUAAAUUAAGUCAGUGGUGAAAUCCAGCAACUUAACUGUUGAAUUGCCAUUGAUACUGAAUUACUUGAGUGAAAACGAGGUAUGCGGAAUUUAUGGUGUAGCGGUGAAAUGCAUAGAUACCAUAAAGAACACCGAUAGCGAAGGCAGCUUACUGGGCUGUAACUGACGCUGAGGCACGAAAGUGUGGGGAUCAAACAGGG